rnacentral:misc_RNA from 1 species
CCUGGCCUUGGGCCGCUCGGGGGAGCCAGUCGCUUGCGACGACGCUGCCUUGGGCGCUUAGCCCUUGACUAUCACCUUGACUACGUGCACCUUUUGUUGUUUCCUCGGCAGGUCAUCUGCCGCCAGGAACCCCCUAAACCUUUUUGCAAUAGCAUCUAAACUUCUGAAAACAAACCAAAUCAUUUA